GGUUGGAGAGAAAUGAUUUAAUAAGUUUCAAUUUUAAAAUAAAUAAUUUUUCAAAAGAGAAAAAAGAAAAAGAAAAAUGAGAGAUGGAGAUAUAUAUAUAUAUAUAUAUAUAUAUAUAUAUAUAAACACACAAGCACACACACACACACAGACAGAGCAAAGACUACUUUUUUAUUUACUCUCAGAUGAUAUCCAUCUUCCAGUCACCCCUACACAAGACCCCCAUCCCACAUCUGUCACUUCCCCCUUCCCUUUUCCUCUAUAAGAGUGCUCCCCCACCUACCCACUCCCACCCCACCCCUUGAGCAUCCCCCUACAAUGGAGCACCAAACAGGACCAAGGGCCUCUUCUCCCACUGAUGGCCACAUCAGGUCAUCAGCAAGCUCCUCUUGGCAACAGCAACAGUGUCAGGGUUUGGUGUCGGCAGACAGGAUGGAUUCCCAGGUGGGGCAGUUCUGGUGGCCCUUCCUUCAGUUUUUCUUCCCUGUCUUUCUUUUGGACAGGAACAUUUCUUGGUUAAAAACUUUGAGAUGGGUGGGUGGCCCCAUUCCUCAACUGGAGGCUGUGCCUAUGUACUGAAGGUGGUUCCUGCAGGUUCUAUCUUCCCUUCACUGCGAGCGUUUCUACUCAAAGCAUCACUUUAGAGAGGUCCCAGGAGGCUCUUGCUUCCCUGGCAUCUGAGACCCUCCAGUGGCUCAUCCCCGACUGCUACAUAUGUUUUUAUUCAUUUCCCUAAUGCUCCAGUCCUGCAUUGAAGGGGGACAGGAUGAUCUUGGGAGGUAGAGAGGGGGAGCACCUGGGAGGGAGAGAGGAGGGGGCAGAAAUAAGGGCAGAGCAGUAUCAGGCACUGGAGGGGACAGGAAAUUGAGAUACUAAAGCACAGGGGAUAAAACUUAUGUUGGAGCGGAAUUACCACUCAAGCAUGGUUCUGCUACUUGCUGGUUGAUUGGAAUUGGUAUUUUUUUAAAUGUAGUCUCACUUUUCAUUGUUUAGGGAAUGAUGACAUAAAAAAAGAAGAAUGCUCAUGUUUAUUGCAAAUGAGCGUCUUCACUUACAUCCAUUUUCCAGCAACUGUCAUAAUAUUUUUCUACUUUGUGAAUGG
rnacentral:lncRNA from 1 species